rnacentral:lncRNA from 1 species
AGCGGCGGCGGCGCGUCCGCGGGCGGCGGGAGCUUCGCAUGCGCGGAGCGAGGCCCGAUGUCGUCGGAGGAGAACAAGUGCGUGGAGCAGCCGCAGCCACCACCCCCCGAGGAGCCUGGAGCCCCGGCCCCGAGCCCCCCAGCCGCAGACAAAAGACCUCGGGGCCGGCCUCGCAAGGCGCUUCCCCUUUCCAGAGAGCCAGAAAGAAAUCUAUUCGGCUUAGCGACUGAAGAUUGACGCUGCCCGAUCGCCUCGGAAGUCCCCUGGACCAUCACAGAAGCCGAGCUUCGGGUAACUCUCACAGUGGAGGGUAAGUCCAUCCCCUGUUUAAUCGAUACGGGGGCUACCCACUCCACGUUGCCUUCUUUUCAAGGGCCUGUUUCCCUUGCCCCCAUAACUGUUGUGGGUAUUGACGGCCAAGCUUCAAAACCCCUGAAAACUCCCCCACUCUGGUGCCAACUUGGACAACACUCUUUUAUGCACUCUUUUUUAGUUAUCCCCACCUGCCCACUUCCCUUAUUAGGCCGAAAUAUUUUAACCAAAUUAUCUGCUUCCCUGACUAUUCCUGGAGUACAGCUACAUCUCAUUGCUGCCCUUCUUCCCAAUCCAAAGCCUCCUUUGUGUCCUCUAACAUCCCCACAAUAUCACCCCUUACCACAAGACCUCCCUUCAGCUUAAUCUCUCCCACUCUAGGUUCCCACGCCGCCCCUAAUCCCACUUGAAGCAGCCCUGAGAAACAUCGCCCAUUCUCUCUCCAUACCACCCCCCAAAAAUUUUCGCCGCUCCAACACUUCAACACUAUUUUGUUUUAUUUGUCUUAUUAAUAUCAGAAGGCAGGAAUGUCAGGCCUCUGAGCCCAGGCCAGGCCAUCGCAUCCCCUGUGACUUGCACGUAUACAUCCAGAUGGCCUGAAGUAACUGAAGAUCCACAAAAGAAGUAAAAACAGCCUUAACUGAUGACAUUCCACCAUUGUGAUUUGUUCCUGCCCCACCCUAACUGAUCAAUGUACUUUGUAAUCUCCCCCACCCUUAAGAAGGUUCUUUGUAAUUCUCCCCACCCUUGAGAAUGUACUUUGUGAGAUCCACCCCUGCCCACCAGAGAACAACCCCCUUUGAUUGUAAUUUUUUAUUACCUUCCCAAAUCCUAUAAAACAGCCCCACCCCUAUCUUCCUUCACUGACUCUCUUUUCGGACUCAGCCCACCGGCACCCAGGUGAAAUAAACAGCUUUAUUGCU